GACGAAGGGGGCUAGCGUUGUUCGGAAUUACUGGGCGUAAAGCGCGUGUAGGCGGUUGUCCAAGUUGGAUGUGAAAGCCUUGAGCUUAACUCAAGAAAUGCAUUCAGGACUGGAUGACUAGAGGACCGGAGAGGAUAGUGGAAUUCCCAGUGUAGUGGUGAAAUACGUAGAGAUUGGGAAGAACACCAGUGGCUAAGGCGGCUCUCUAGUACGGUACUGACGCUGAGACGCGAAAGCGUGGGGAGCGAACAGG
rnacentral:rRNA from 1 species